rnacentral:rRNA from 1 species
CUACGGGAUGCAGCAGUGGGGAAUAUUGCACAAUGGGGGGAACCCUGAUGCAGCAACGCCGCGUGGAGGAUGACACAUUUCGGUGCGUAAACUCCUUUUAUAUAAGAAGAUAAUGACGGUAUUAUAUGAAUAAGCACCGGCUAACUCCGUGCCAGCAGCCGCGGUAAUACGGGGGGUGCAAGCGUUACUCGGAAUCACUGGGCGUAAAGAGCAUGUAGGCUGGUUUGUAAGUUGGAAGUGAAAUCCUAUGGCUUAACCAUAGAACUGCUUCCAAAACUACUUACCUAGAGUAUGGGAGAGGUAGAUGGAAUUUCUGGUGUAGGGGUAAAAUCCGUAGAGAUCAGAAGGAAUACCGAUUGCGAAGGCGAUCUACUGGAACAUUACUGACGCUCAGAUGCGAAAGCGUGGGGAGCAAACAGGAUUAGAUACCCCAGUAGUC